GUAGGUGAACCUGCGGAGGGAUCAUUACCGAGUUCAUGCCCUUACGGGUAGAUCUCCCACCCUAUGUUAUAUUUACCUUCGUUGCUUUGGCAGGCCGUCAGGCUUCGGCCAGGCUACCGGCUCCGGCUGGUAAGCGCCUGCCAGAGGACCCUAAACUCUGAAUAUUAGUGUUGUCUGAGUACUAUAAAAUAGUUAAAACUUUCAACAACGGAUCUCUUGGUUCUG
rnacentral:misc_RNA from 1 species